GACGAACGCUGGCGGCGUGCUUAACACAUGCAAGUCGAACGGAAAGGCCCUGCUUGCAGGGUACUCGAGUGGCGAACGGGUGAGUAACACGUGGGUGAUCUGCCCUGCACUUCGGGAUAAGCCUGGGAAACUGGGUCUAAUACCGGAUAGGAGCCAUUUUUAGUGUGAUGGUUGGAAAGUUUUUUCGGUGUAGGAUGAGCUCGCGGCCUAUCAGCUUGUUGGUGGGGUAAUGGCCUACCAAGGCGGCGACGGGUAGCCGGCCUGAGAGGGCGGACGGCCACAUUGGGACUGAGAUACGGCCCAGACUCCUACGGGAGGCAGCAGUGGGGAAUAUUGCACAAUGGGCGCAAGCCUGAUGCAGCGACGCCGCGUGGGGGAUGACGGCCUUCGGGUUGUAAACUCCUUUCGCUAGGGACGAAGCUUUUUGUGACGGUACCUAGAUAAGAAGCACCGGCUAACUACGUG
rnacentral:rRNA from 1 species